ACGGGAACCGCCCAUCGGAGGAAGCCGGGGCGGCAGUAUAAAAGCUCGGAGCGCUCGCUACCCGAAAUCAAAUCCGUGCUGCCGUGAGCGAUCGAGCCUGCUUCGAGAACUCUCUCCAGUACAGUCCUUCGUGCCCUCCAGGUUUCGUUUUCACCUUCGUCCAUUUCGGCGUGGCGAAAAACAAGGCCUGUUGACACCGAGUGCCGUGCGCAACGUGCAGCUGGAUAGCAAGCUCGCCUUCUCUUUGUUUCACGGGCGUCAUCCCAGUCGGACUAUGACCAUGAAGGUGCAGACCGAGCAACAGCAGGUGAUCGGCCUGACCAAGGUGGCGAAAGGGCGCGCAAGCCGCGAGGAGCGCGAACGUGAGCCAGGGUGGCGCCAUACAGGGUCUCCUGGACAAGCUCAAAGAUCUGGUGCCCAACAUGCCCCGUAGCAAGAAGCUUACGAGGCUCGAGAUCAUCCAGAACGUGAUCGACUACAUUCUAGACCUGGAGAUCGCGCUGGAAGCGCAUCCCACACAGCUGUCGUCCUCGGCCCCUGCGGUGUCGACUCGCCAGCCUCUGGGCGUACUCCCUCCCGCCAACAACUCGGCCACCAACGCCCUCAGCGAAGAUGAGGUGACCCACGCCGAAAAAGUAAUUCGGCACUUCGCGGCGCUCGCUCCAGCCGUAGCGUCGACAAACGCCAUUUCGAGCCUGGACCUUUGAGACGCUGGGGAACAAGCGUCUCCCAUCCAUCACAUCGCCCGGGGCCAGGAAUGACCGCCCAGCCCAGGGCCGCAUCUGGCUACCGGCAACCUAGUGCCACUCCUGUGCCGUCGAAACACUGAAUACCACCCAAGUGCAACCAUGUGAUGAUCUCUUGAGGAAUACGUGGAGGAGCGACCCGAAAAGUGGGGGAAGGGUCCAAGUCUCGGAAACAUCGUUAACACAGCCCGGCUCGACGUCCCUACGUACUGCUACCUUUAACUCUCAGAUUUUACUGCUCUCUUCUCUCGAAACUGGUGGUCUGAGAAGCUGGAAGGCUCGCGGCGAAAGCGGAUAAAUGGAACCUGCUCUGCAGACUGCGGGUGUCAAGCCUAACAGUGAACCUGUGCUUCAAGAAUUUCAUCGCACAUGUCUACGUACGCGUCUCCAAAUUUGUCUCUACAGGCGGAUAUUCAUACAGAAAUAUCCGUGAACAGUACCCAAUGAAGGAAAGACCGGAGUUCUCGAAAAGGAUGUCGCCAGAAGAGACUUACGAAGCCAGUCGACAAAAGCCCUCUGAAGACAUCCCAGAAAUGGUGGAUGACAGCUCAACAUGGCAACAGGAGAGCCGCAACAAGGCCGGCGAAAAUAUUAUCGCAGAUGCCCGAAAUUGCACGAAU